rnacentral:rRNA from 1 species
GAUGAACGCUAGCUACAGGCUUAACACAUGCAAGUCGAGGGGCAGCAUUUUAGUUUGCUUGCAAACUAAAGAUGGCGACCGGCGCACGGGUGAGUAACACGUAUCCAACCUGCCGAUAACUCGGGGAUAGCCUUUCGAAAGAAAGAUUAAUAUCCGAUGGUAUAUUAAAACCGCAUGGUUUUACUAUUAAAGAAUUUCGGUUAUCGAUGGGGAUGCGUUCCAUUAGUUUGUUGGCGGGGUAACGGCCCACCAAGACUACGAUGGAUAGGGGUUCUGAGAGGAAGGUCCCCCACAUUGGAACUGAGACACGGUCCAAACUCCUACGGGAGGCAGCAGUGAGGAAUAUUGGUCAAUGGACGAGAGUCUGAACCAGCCAAGUAGCGUGAAGGAUGACUGCCCUAUGGGUUGUAAACUUCUUUUAUAUGGGAAUAAAGUAUUCCACGUGUGGGAUUUUGUAUGUACCAUAUGAAUAAGGAUCGGCUAACUCCGUGCCAGCAGCCGCGGUAAUACGGAGGAUCCGAGCGUUAUCCGGAUUUAUUGGGUUUAAAGGGAGCGUAGGUGGAUUGUUAAGUCAGUUGUGAAAGUUUGCGGCUCAACCGUAAAAUUGCAGUUGAAACUGGCAGUCUUGAGUACAGUAGAGGUGGGUGGAAUUCGUGGUGUAGCGGUGAAAUGCUUAGAUAUCACGAAGAACUCCGAUUGCGAAGGCAGCUCACUAGACUGCAACUGACACUGAUGCUCGAAAGUGUGGGUAUCAAACAGGAUUAGAUACCCUGGUAGUCCACACAGUAAACGAUGAAUACUCGCUGUUUGCGAUAUACAGUAAGCGGCCAAGCGAAAGCAUUAAGUAUUCCACCUGGGGAGUACGCCGGCAACGGUGAAACUCAAAGGAAUUGACGGGGGCCCGCACAAGCGGAGGAACAUGUGGUUUAAUUCGAUGAUACGCGAGGAACCUUACCCGGGCUUAAAUUGCAUUUGAAUAAUCUGGAAACAGGUUAGCCGCAAGGCAAAUGUGGAGGUGCUGCAUGGUUGUCGUCAGCUCGUGCCGUGAGGUGUCGGCUUAAGUGCCAUAACGAGCGCAACCCUUAUCUUUAGUUACUAACAGGUCAUGCUGAGGACUCUAGAGAGACUGCCGUCGUAAGAUGUGAGGAAGGUGGGGAUGACGUCAAAUCAGCACGGCCCUUACGUCCGGGGCUACACACGUGUUACAAUGGGGGGUACAGAAGGCAGCUACCUGGUGACAGGAUGCUAAUCCCAAAAACCUCUCUCAGUUCGGAUCGAAGUCUGCAACCCGACUUCGUGAAGCUGGAUUCGCUAGUAAUCGCGCAUCAGCCAUGGCGCGGUGAAUACGUUCCCGGGCCU